GACUAGUCUGCAGGUUUAACGAGUCGCCUGUGCAGCAGCCGCGGUAAUUCCAGCUCCAAUAGCGUAUAUUUAAGUUGUUGCAGUUAAAAAGCUCGUAGUUGGAUUUUGGGUGCGGCAGGCCGGUCCGCCGUUUCGGUGUGCACUGGCAGGCGGCAUCUUUCUGUCGAGGACGCGCUCCUGGCUUUAAUUGGUCGGGACGUGGAGUCGGCGCAGUUACUUUGAAAAAAUUAGAGUGUUCAAAGCGGGCCUACGCUUGAAUAUAUUAGCAUGGAAUAACACUAUAGGACUCCUGUCCCUAUUCUGUUGGUCUUCGGGAUGGGAGUAAUGAUUAAGAGGAACAGUUGGGGGCAUUCGUAUUUCAUUGUCAGAGGUGAAAUUCUUGGAUUUAUGAAGGACGAACUUCUGCGAAAGCAUUUGCCAAGGAUGUUUUCAUUAAUCAAGAACGAAAGUUGGGGGCUCGAAGAUGAUUAGAUACCAUCCUAGUCUCAACCAUAAACGAUGCCGACUAGGGAUUGGCGGAUGUUGAUUUGAUGACUUCGCCAGCACCUUAUGAGAAAUCAAAGUCUUUGGGUUCCGGGGGGAGUAUGGUCGCAAGGCUGAAACUUAAAGGAAUUGACGGAAGGGCACCACCAGGAGUGGAGCCUGCGGCUUAAUUUGACUCAACACGGGGAAACUUACCAGGUCCAGACAUAGUAAGGAUUGACAGAUUGAGAGCUCUUUCUUGAUUCUAUGGGUGGUGGUGCAUGGCCGUUCUUAGUUGGUGGAGUGAUUUGUCUGGCUAAUCCCGUUAACGAACGAGACCUCAGCCUGCUAACUAGUCACGGCCUUUCUGAAAGGCUGGCAGUACUUCUUAGAGGGACUAUUGGCGAUUAGCCAAUGGAAGUUUGAGGCAAUAACAGGUCUGUGAUGCCAAGGGCGAUCGCGCGCUAAAUCAUCGCUAUAGUGAGUCGAUACAUUCACUGCGUCGAUUACACGUCUGGA
rnacentral:rRNA from 1 species